UACGAAGGGGGCUAGCGUUGCUCGGAAUUACUGGGCGUAAAGGGCGCGUAGGCGGAUACUUAAGUCGGGGGUGAAAGCCCAGGGCUCAACCCUGGAACUGCCUUCGAUACUGGGAAGCUCGAGUCCGGGAGAGGUGAGUGGAACUGCGAGUGUAGAGGUGAAAUUCGUAGAUAUUCGCAAGAACACCAGUGGCGAAGGCGGCUCACUGGCCCGGUACUGACGCUGAGGUGCGAAAGCGUGGGGAGCAAACAGG
rnacentral:rRNA from 1 species